GAUGAACGCUGGCGGCGUGCCUAAUACAUGCAAGUCGAGCGAACAGAUGAGGAGCUUGCUCCUCUGACGUUAGCGGCGGACGGGUGAGUAACACGUGGAUAACCUACCUAUAAGACUGGGAUAACUUCGGGAAACCGGAGCUAAUACCGGAUAAUAUAUUGAACCGCAUGGUUCAAUAGUGAAAGACGGUUUUGCUGUCACUUAUAGAUGGAUCCGCGCCGCAUUAGCUAGUUGGUAAGGUAACGGCUUACCAAGGCAACGAUGCGUAGCCGACCUGAGAGGGUGAUCGGCCACACUGGAACUGAGACACGGUCCAGACUCCUAAGGGAGGCAGCAGUAGGGAAUCUUCCGCAAUGGGCGAAAGCCUGACGGAGCAACGCCGCGUGAGUGAUGAAGGUCUUCGGAUCGUAAAACUCUGUUAUUAGGGAAGAACAAAUGUGUAAGUAACUAUGCACGUCUUGACGGUACCUAAUCAGAAAGCCACGGCUAACUACGCG
rnacentral:rRNA from 1 species